rnacentral:sRNA from 1 species
UUAUGAAACCAGAUGGAAUUAGUCAAGAUGGAUUCGAGUGGUUCUAAAUCGAAAGACUGGCAUCCUUAUGAGAAAGAACGUGGAUGCACAGGACACUGAG